rnacentral:sRNA from 1 species
AGUAGAUUGGGAAACUCUUCAAAUUUUACUGAAAUGCCGAGACAAGCUUUCCCGCUUAAUGGCGGGCCCCACAUCGCAAGAUGAGGCUUUGACCCGGGGGAUUACAGCGAGCGGAAAGCACUCAAAUCCUGUCUAUUCGGAGUUUCAACGCAUCCUUUGGUGUGGCACUUUU